AUAAAAAUCUUGUUGAAAUUGAUUAUUAUUUAUUAUAUUAUUGAAAAACCAUUUUUGUAAAGUGUAUGGUUGAAAGAAAUUUUUGAGAAAACUAGAGUGAAAAAGUACCGUGAGGGAAUGAAUGAAAUGGAAAAAAAGUAGAGAUGAAAGCUCGUACCUUUUGUAUGAUGGCUUAUCUAGAUAAAGAGUGUAAAUAACGCUUUCCCCGAAGUGAAUUGAGCUACUAAGUUUCUGUGUCAAUGUGGAAAGAUUGUACUAAGAGAAUUUAGUAGGGAUGAAAUGUCUACCGCAAUUUACGAUAGCUGGUUAGUUGAGAGGGAUAUCAAAGUGUCGGCUUUUUGUUAACUUUAUUUUAAAAGAAAGUGAAGUUUGACAAGUAGCUAAGAUAGGGAAGGAUAAGCUUCUUUAUUUGUAUAAAAACAUUAUUGAAAGAGGAGUUAAAUAUGGGCUUAAGAUUAGCCACUAUUUAAAAAGUUUGUUAUAAAAUAUAACUUCUUUAUUCUUUAAAUUUAUUUAAAGUUUUAUUCUUGUGUAUCAACGAGUUUUAGGAAAUUGUGUUCUGAAAGUUAUACUGGUAAGAUGAGUAUUUGUUAGAAAUGAUCUUAUGAAAUUUUAGAUGAAAUAAGAUAUAGAAUGGUUUAAAUGUAGAAAACAAGUAGAAGGAACUCGGCAAAAAGUUGUUUCGCCAGUUUAUCAAAAACAUGGCUCUUUGUGGUAAAGAGAUAGAGAGUCGGACCUGCCCGGUGAUAUAUAUUUAACGGCCGCGGUACCCUGACCGUGCAAAGGUAGCAUAAUCAUUUGCCUUUUAAUUGAAGGCUGGAAUGAAUGGUUUGACGAAAACAAAACUGUCUCCUAUUUGUUAUUUAAAAAUUAAUUUUGAUGUGAAGAAGCAUUAAUAUCUCUAAAAGACAAGAAGACCCUAUUGAGCUUGAAUGAUUAUUAAAGACAGGAGUAUGAAUACAAAAAACUGUUUUUUGAGAGUUAUUUUAGUUGGGGCGACUGAGGAACAAAAUAGCUUCCUUUAAAUUUAUGAAAGAGUGAUGGGUAUAGAUCCAGUAUUACUGAUUAGAAGAAUUAGUUACCAUAGGGAUAACAGCGUAAUCUUUUUUGAGAGUUCAUAUCGAAAAAAAGGCUUGCGACCUCGAUGUUGGAUUAAGAUUUCCGGUUGGUGUAGAAGCUUUCUUUGGUUGGUCUGUUCGACCAUUAAAAUCUUACAUGAUCUGAGUUCAGACCGGCGUGAGCCAGGUCGGUUUCUAUCUUUAGAGAAAAAAGAGUUUAGGCUAGUACGAAAGGACCGUUUUAAACCAAAAUUUUUGUUAAUAAUGAAGAAAUUUAAUAUAUAAAUGAAUUGAAAAA
rnacentral:rRNA from 1 species